GAUGAACGCUGGCGGCGUGCCUAAUACAUGCAAGUCGAGCGAACAGAUGAGGAGCUUGCUCCUCUGACGUUAGCGGCGGACGGGUGAGUAACACGUGGAUAACCUACCUAUAAGACUGGGAUAACUUCGGGAAACCGGAGCUAAUACCGGAUAAUAUAUUGAACCGCAUGGUUCAAUAGUGAAAGACGGUUUUGCUGUCACUUAUAGAUGGUUCCGCGCCGCAUUAGCUAGUUGGUAAGGUAACGGCUUACCAAGGCAACGAUGCGUAGCCGACCGGAGAGGGGGGUCGGCCACACUGGAGCGGAGACACGGUCCAGACUACUACGGGAGGCAGCAGUAGGGAAUCUUACGCAAUGGGCGAAAGCCUGACGGAGUGAGGCCGAGUGAGUGAUGAAGGUGUUGGGAUCGUAAAACUCUGUUAUUAGGGAAGAACAAAUGUGUAAGUAACUAUGCACGGCUUGACGGUACCUAAUCAGAAAGCCACGGCUAACUACGUG
rnacentral:rRNA from 1 species